AACGAACGCUGGCGGCAUGCCUAACACAUGCCAGUCGAACGAAGGCUUCGGCCUUAGUGGCGCACGGGUGCGUAACGCGUGGGAAUCUGCCCUUUGCUUCGGAAUAACAGUUAGAAAUGACUGCUAAUACCGGAUGAUGUCGCAAGACCAAAGAUUUAUCGGCAAGGGAUGAGCCCGCGUAGGAUUAGCUAGUUGGUGGGGUAAAGGCCUACCAAGGCGACGAUCCUUAGCUGGUCUGAGAGGAUGAUCAGCCACACUGGGACUGAGACACGGCCCAGACUCCUACGGGAGGCAGCAGUGGGGAAUAUUGGACAAUGGGCGAAAGCCUGAUCCAGCAAUGCCGCGUGAGUGAUGAAGGCCUUAGGGUUGUAAAGCUCUUUUACCCGGGAUGAUAAUGACAGUACCGGGAGAAUAAGCUCCGGCUAACUCCGUG
rnacentral:rRNA from 1 species